rnacentral:lncRNA from 1 species
UCCGGAUUGAUAGUUUCUUUAAAUAUCUUUACAAAUAAUUGCAAUUUUAUGGGAACUUUAAAUGCAAUGUUACUAUAUAUUUAGCUGAUUUUCUAUGGGAUGGUGCUUCGAAAAAUCCAUGAAAAUACUUGUUAAACGUGGCAAAGUUUGUAGGACCAUAUAUUAUCCAAACAGAACAAACAGAUGAAAGGAAUCUAACAAGUUAAUACAAGAUAGACAAUUCGUAAUUUUCUGCGGAAAGUUAAUAUUGACAAGUCAAUUUUUAUAAACAGAGUCAGAUUUUUUUCCCCCUCUUUGGAGAGGCUACUUG